rnacentral:rRNA from 1 species
UGUAUUAAUUAUUAGUUAAUGCAAGAUCGACUAUGUCGACUAAAGUUCUAGGUAGAAUAAUGAUGAUGACAAUUUUCUACCUAUAUGUCUUGACCAAAUCUCGUGCCAGCAGUCGCGGUAAUACGUGAAAGACUAGUGUUAUUCAUCUUUAAUAGGUUUAAAGGGUACCUAGACGGUAUUUUUAGCCCAAAACAGGGUACGGACUUACUAGAGUUUUAUGUGAGAAGGGGAGUACUUGUAGAGUAGAGAUGAAAUUUUGUGAUACUAUGAGGAAACUGGUGGCGGCGAAAGCAACCUUCUAUGUAUUAACUGACGUUGAGGGACGAAGGCUUGGGUAGCAAAUAGGAUUAGAGACCCUAGUAGUCCAAGCAGACAAUUCUGAAUGCCAUAGAUUAGAUUAUGGUCUAUAAAUGAAAGUGUAAGCAUUCCACCUUAGGGAGUAAUGUGGCAACACAGGAACUGAAAUCAUUAGACCGUUUCUGAAACCAGUAGUGAAGUAUGUUAUUUAAUUUGUUAGUCCUCAAAAAACCUUACCACACUUGAAUGUUAUUAAAUUAAUACAAGCGUUGCACGGCUGUCUUCAGUUAUGUCGUGAGAUUUUGUUAACUCCAUAUACGUAACCUACUUUA